UAUAUAUUAUAUAUAUAUAUAUAUAUAUAUAUAUAUAUAUAUAUAUAUAUUUACACAUGAUGCAAUCAGAUUUUAUUAAUCAUGUAUGCGAUCAUUAUACAUAAAAAUUUAUGACUCAGUUUGGUAUAACCUAUCAGGACCAAACACAUAGAAUAAGGUUGAAUCUUUGGUUUGAUUGCUUACUCAGUAUACGCUACUGUGUAUUGAAUGCUUAAUUGAAUAUUUGAUUAAUAUUUAAUUUUCAUUUAGAUGUAUGUACAAUAACUAUUAUAUGAGAUAUUUGAUUAAGAUUUUGUAGAAUACAAAUUGUUGCUGAAUGGGCAUUGAAUCAUGACAAUAUGCAUGCCCCAAAUAAACCUACAGUCUACCACUUAAAAUAAUUUUUUUUCAAAGGCCCAGAUUACUUUCCAAUUAUAUAUAUAUAUAUAUAUAUAUAUAUAUAUAUAUAUAUGGUAACACAAAUCUCGUGCGUAGGACCUGUGCAACAAUUCCCCAAACCCUUUGGGCUUGUUGAUACCACUUUUGUAGGAUGGAUUGUCCAAAGUGACUUGGCUUUGCCACACCCACUUAAGAUCUGGACCACCCAAAUACACUUCCAAUGUGGGAUUUGGAAAUAAAAUGUACCUCAGUACCAUGGUAUUGGGCUGAAAGUUUAUUUAUUUAUUGAAAAAUAUUUGUGUAUCCUGCUAUGAGUUCCCCAAAAAUCAUAUCUUAUGGGAUUACCCAAGGGAAUAGUAUCCGCGGUACUGUUCACAAGGUUAGAAAAAAAAAUUGUGAGUACUGUUCACAUGAACAGUACCCGCGGGUACUGUUCACAGGGUUAAAAAAAUACAGUUUGGGGCUGUUUUAAUGUGUCCAGGAGAAUGUUGAAUGGUCAUAAUCAUUUGAUAUCUAAAUUUUCUUAAAUGAAAAUUCUUUGUUUGGUGUCAUAUGAGUGGGUACAAACCACAUCAUAAUGACUUUGUUAUUGCGACUUAAUUUUUAAAUUUUCUAACUCAUAUUUUGUUUGAGUGAGUAGUCAUAAAAUAAAUCAUAAAAAAAAAGAGCAGGAUUACACUUUCUUAUUUUAGAGAACAAUUGCUAGCUCCAUGGAUGAUUUUGGUCCUAUAAUGCUCAAUGAUAAGUUUUUGCCUUAAUUGUACCACUUCUGAUAUAUAUAUAUAUAUAUAUAUUAUCCGUUCAAACUGUACAUCUGUUCCUCUAUUUUUGCUUUACUAACUUUGCAAAUAGAAAGAGAACAUUAGUGUUCCUUGCGUGUGAGAGGCAAGCUUGGGAAUGGGGGCAGAAAAUUAACCUCUCUUAUUAAAGAUACGAGCUCACGAAGCUCUGGAAAAUCAAUUUCUCUUAUUAAAAAGAUGAGGUGACUCACGAGGAUGAACCUCUCAUAUUAAAAGGAUAAGUUCAUGAGGCUCGGAAAACGUACUCCCUUUUUAAAGGGCGAGUUGAAUGAAGCUCGUAAUUGCCAUUCCGCGUAUUAUAAGGGAUUGAUAUAAAAGUACCCCUUAUUAUAAGGGCCCGAGCUGAAUGAAGCUCGUAAUUGUUGUCCUCCGUAUUAAAAGGGGUCGAAAUCAACUUGUAAAAUAUACUUCCCUUUUUAAAGGGCGAGCUGAGUGAAACUCAUAAAAUAUAUAUUCCUUUUUAAAGGGCGAGUUGAAUGAAACACGUAAUUGUCAUUCCCCGUAUUAUAAGGGAUUGAUAUAAAAGUUCCUCGUACUAUAAGGGCCUGAGCUGAAUGAAGCUCAUAAUUGUUGUCCUCCGUAUUAAAAGGGGUCGAAAUCAACUUGUAAAAUAUACUUCCCUUUUUAAAGGGCGAACUGAGUGAAGCUCGUAAAAUAUAUUUUCCUUUUUAAGGGGCGAGCUGAGUAAGGCUCGUAAAUAUACUUCCCUUUUUAAAAGGUAAGCUCAUUCAGCUUAAGAAAGCCUACUCCCUCAGCUCAUGAAGUUCGGACAAAUCUGCAUCCUUAUUAAAGGAGUAAGAGAGGUCAACCAAAAAGAGGUCGCCCAACAAGGGUUAACCUAAAAAGAGAUUGAUUUCUGCCAAAGAGAUGUUAAUCGAAAAACACUUUGACAUUCUCGAUCAUUGACAAGCAAGCACGAGAAUAGGGGGCAACUGAUAAGGAUAAAAAUAAUAGGCAACUCAAAGUCAAAUGAGAAAUAAGAUAAGGGGAGAAUCUCGCUUCAACAACUACUGCCAUUAAUGCUUCUAUAAACGAAAUGAUCGGUCAACUUAAAAAGGUACGUCAUAAAUUUCAUAUGUAAUCCUUAUCGGAUAUUGAAUCGUCAAGGACUAACUUGACCGUCAGAGUGCACCCGGCCGGCACCACACCGGUCAUCACUUCUCUUGUUUUGCAGGAAUCGCCAAGGGUUCCGGAGCGUACAGAUUCUUGCAUCAACAAUAAUAAUAAUAAAAUAAAAUAAAAUAAAAUUAGGAGAAGACUUCUCUUGGUUUCCUUUUCUUUUCUUUGGGUGAAAGAAUCAUCGUAUUACUCAUAACUUCACUCAACCAAAGAAAGCCAUCACAAAUGUAAGUUGGCAGGGAUGCUGCGGAAUUUUUUGGAAAGGGUGAAAUUGAGGUAUCAUAUAGCUCUGAAGUUUAAAUGUUUUACAUCAGUGUUGUUUUUUAUUGUUAUCAAAUGGCGUAUAAUUUGGUAAAUGGAGGUGAAGAUUCAAAUAUUAAUAGAAGUGUGGGUUUGAGGUUUAAAAUACACGUUUAGAAUUUUUAAUCGUCAUUUCUUAGUGAACAAAUUAUAGGGGUCAUGCUGUAUAUAUUACUUAUCUAUUAAAUUUAAUAUUCUUCUCAAAUUGCAGCAGCAUAUGGUUUCUAGGGAUAACCAGGACCAACAAUUUGCCCCAACUCAACGUUGCCGCAAUCAAUCUGAGCCUACUGGUACCCAUCUGGUACUCGGUGAUGGUACUGAUGUAGAUACCAUGUUAAGGAUUUUUGCUUUAUUAAUAAUGAAGAUGACGCUGCAAACCAUUAUAUACAUUGAUAGAGUUUUCUGAAAAUUCUUUUGUAUAAUAAAUAUAUCCUCCAAGUCUCAUCAUGGCUCAUGAGCUGACCAAUCCACCAUAAAGAUGGAAAGCUCUCCAGCCCAUAAUCUUUCAUCUGUAUAGAGUAGAGGUGCCUCGGGCAAGCGUAGGUAGGAUCGAAUGGUAGAGCUCUUUAUUUCCUUUCUGUACUGGUAAUUGAAUAGGGAAUUCUGACAAGCAAGCAAGCAUGUCAAUACAUUUGGAAAGGGGGCACAAACAAAGCAAGACGCGGCGGAACGGGUAGCUACUAUAACACACACACACACACA